GCUAAAAUGGUGGCCAGUGACAGUGCUAUAUGCCAUAAUGAAAUAUAGAGAUUAUUCUAGUUGUUUUUAUACUUUUUAUUUGGUGUUUUAAAGGAUAAUCUUCAUUAAUGACAAUUGGUAAUAAAAUGUAAUAAAUAAAAUGGAUCCGAGAGUGUUAUUUUGUGGUAAAUUUCCAUUUUAUUCUUAUAUUCCCGAUAAAAAAUGAAAAGUGCAAAGAGUACGCCAUAAAUAACACAAAAGGAAAUUUUCAGAAACCUGAAACGAAUCUAAAUUCAAAAAAUAUACAUGAUAAGCUACUUAUUUUCAUAAUUUUUGAUUUUCUUCUACGAUGCUGACUAAUCUAUUCAGCAGGGGUCUUCAACCCUUUCCCGAGAAGGACCAUAUGAGCUGGAAAAGACAAGUCUAGGGACCAGGUACGAAAAGGUUUGUCAAAGAUUAUAGAUAGAGAUUUCUUUUAUUUCUGAAUAACAAUAGACAUAAAUCCGUGUGAAAUUUGAAACUGCUUUUUUGAAAGUCAUCAAAAUCGGGCACUAAAUAUUAAAAUCUU